GCUCGAACAGGUUCCUGCAGACCGGUUCGACCCGCGGGUUCGGGACCGGAUUCUGGCGUUUGAGCAGCGUUCUCCGGCCGAUGU
rnacentral:tRNA from 1 species